rnacentral:ncRNA from 7 species
GUUGGUAGUGGGUCAGUUGGUAGAGCACAAGUUUCUUAAUUUUGUGGUCGUGGGUUCAAGCCCCACGAUGGAUG